AAGCGUCCGUAGCUGGCCAGACAAGUCUGUUGGGAAAUCCACGUGCUCAACGCGUGGGCGUCCAGCGGAAACUGUCUGGCUUGGGGCCGGAGGACUCGAGGGGUACGUCCGGGGUAGGAGUGAAAUCCCGUAAUCCUGGACGGACCACCGGUGGCGAAAGCGCCUCGAGAGGACGGACCCGACAGUGAGGGACGAAAGCCAGGGCUCUCGAACC
rnacentral:rRNA from 1 species